CUUGCUUUCUUUGCUGGCGACCGGCGCACGGGUGAGUAACACGUAUCCAACCCGCCCUUUACUCGGGGAUAGCCUUUCGAAAGAAAGAUUAAUACCCGAUAGCAUAAUGAUUCCGCAUGGUUUCAUUAUUAAAGGAUUCCGGUAAAGGAUGGGGAUGCGUUCCAUUAGGUUGUUGGUGGGGUAACGGCCCACCAAGCCUUCGAUGGAUAGGGGUUCUGAGAGGAAGGUCCCCCACAUUGGAACUGAGACACGGUCCAA
rnacentral:rRNA from 1 species